CCACUGUGCACUAUAAUAUAGCUGAGAGGAUCUUCAAAUCUUCGCAUUAUAUCAAUGCGAUUCUUCACCUUAGAGAUAGUUAAUCCAUCGGUAAAAACAAACCUACCAUCAAAUGUUCGCUCUUCCCGGUCGUUGUCUUGCUUCCAAAAACACAUUCUUAAUAAUUGACGACCAAACAAUCCAAACCCUUAUAGGAGAAACAGCAACAUACACACAAUUAAAUGGGAAUUCGUAUAAUUAUGUAACGCAAAUAUGCACCCGCUUUCAAACGACCCAAAUAUUUUUAUUGGAUAAUCCAUCAACGACACAUGCUAUCUCCAUAUAUAUAUAUAUAGGAAGAUGUGGUAUGAGUGCCAAGAGACAAAUCUCCAUCCAAGUCACAAUUUAUAGAAGAAAACCAUUAUAGGUCCAUACCUAUGUUGAAUGAGUUCGACGAACAACGAGAAUAUUUAAUACCUAAAGGCUAAAGCAUGUAUAGAUAUUUUGAGUAUUGCAGAAAAUUGGUAUUUAGUCAAACUAGCUAACCAUCAAAAGACAAAAUAGCGGUCCACCUACUACAAGUCUAUCUGGCAAAUAGUAAAGCAAUAAAAGCCACUGGACAAAUUGCCUAAGUGCGCAGGAAUGUGUAUAGGUAACCUUCUACCAAACUGAUCGGUCUUAGAUGAAACCAAAUGAAUUUCUACAUAUUUCUUGUAAAUUUUGACAUCAUUCUUGUUUAAAGCAUGAUAUGU
rnacentral:lncRNA from 1 species